rnacentral:rRNA from 1 species
CCCUUAGAUGUCCUGGGCCGCACGCGCGCUACACUGAUGCAUGCAACGAGUUUAUAACCUUGGCCUGAAAGGUCUGAGUAAUCUUUUGAACGUGCAUCGUGAUAGGGAUAGAUUAUUGCAAUUGUUAAUCUUCAACGAGGAAUGCCUAGUAAGCGCAAGUCAUCAGCUUGCGUUGAUUACGUCCCUGCCCUUUGUACACACCGCCCGUCGCUCCUACCGAUUGAAUGGUCCGGUGAAGCGUUCGGACCGUGGCCUUUGGACGGUUCGCCGUCUGUUGGCUGCGGGAAGUUCGUUAAACCUUAUCAUUUAGAGGAAGGAGAAGUCGUAACA